GCAGUGUCGUUGGUCUGUCUCCCAAAUUCCGGCGGCGCCCACACCCCCACCAGCGGCCACCUCUAGCCUGAGGCCCGAAAGGAACGCCCGGAGAGAUGCAUCCAUGGAGCUAAGCAUCGCCAGCCUCAUGAGCCCGCCCAGCCUGCGGGAGCGGGAGCCCCUAUGCCUGAAAGCAACGGAAGUGCUUUUUGAUCGUGCGUGCCUCUCGGACGGCCGGCCUGCGUGACGUGGCGGCAGCAAGGGCGGGUCUUCCUUGUGCGCGUGCGUGUGGUGGUGCAUGUGAGCGUUGGACUGCGGAGGCUGCGGCAACCUCGAGCACGACUACACGGCGCAAGAUUUAGUGGAGCAGGAGCUGGCCGUGGUCGGGCAGGUUCGGGGCGCAGGUGCAGUCACGCAGGUGCUCGGAAACCACGCGCGUGAUAGAAGGUACUGUUCUACACGUACGCACAUGAGCGCUCGCUGCCUCUUCAGGGUCAAGCAAUCGCAGCUGAGUCCGCGGCUUGGCGCCUUGCAAUAGUAGUAUGUAAUGUUUAUUUCUUUGCCACUAAUACUAGGAAUCAGAAAUAGCUUAAUUGCAUUAUUAGCACAGUUGAGAGAAAAAGACAUGGGUACAGAGUACACUAUAUAUCAUCAUCUUUUAUUGUGUUUUUUUCAGCAGGACCUGUCGCCACUCGCAUAAUCUUGCAGUUGCAGGGCCGAGCUGCUCCCUGUCUUUGCUUUUCCUCCAGGACUUCAGGUAAUUUUUGAUAUAUAUAUUACCUGUUCUUUUUAUCUAUCGGCCCAUGGAUCCAUUGCUCCCUGUCUUUGCUAUCGGCCAAUGGAUUUUUGAUAUAUAUUUAUUCUCUCCCUGUUCUUUUUAUCUAUCGGCCCAUGGAUCUGUUUUGAGUUGCACAUUCCUUUGGCGCAGCAAUGCAUAUAUGAUUCAUGAUUCAAUAUGCCUAUCUUACAUUUGAUUCAAAUCAAAAUCAGACAUACAUCUGCACAAUAAUUAUUUUAAACACCAUUAGUUUGUUGUAACAGAUAUUGUGGAAGUGAUUUCAGAUGAUAAUUAUCUGAUUGAUCCAGUCACCAGGAUGUUCUCCAGAAAAAUUAAUGAGACCGCGAAGUACAGUAGGUACCAUAGACUCAUUAUUGCAUCUCCCUUUUUGUUCCUUGUACAAAAACCGAACCUUGAUCUAUAACUAGAGAGGAUGUUUGGCUUAUUACAAUGUAGUUCAGAUCUAGGUUUAAUAUUUCAUUUAUCUUGAUUUUGCUGUUCUCCUUGCCCUCGCACCUCCAGCCUCUUACAGUCUCUACCCUGGUCCAACGCAUUUCCAGUUCAGUUCGCCACUUUGAUUCUUACUUUCCAUGAUGUGGUCUGGAUGUGAUACUUGGACAAGAACUUGGAUAGUGCCUUAAUUUAAAUACACACGAUUUAGUGAAGUUCCAUGAUCUUACUUCUCAUCUGAAUUUUAAUUGGUGGUGUAUAGAUCCAAACCAACUCUAGCUUACUCAGCUGGUAUUGAGGUUUGAUGAUCCUUCAGAUAUCAUGUACGAGUACACACACAAAAAAUGAUGCAUUUUGUAGAAUUUACUGAUGGUCAAUAUUAUACAGGAUCUAUGACUUGCUUGCUCCUCUUUACAUUUUAUACUUGCUCUUAUUUUGAUUCCGGCCUUCUUACGUAGAGCAUAACCUGGUUUACAAUGUUCAAUUGUAACUAGCUGAACUUCGGAUUAGUUGAAUUGACGCUGGGGAAGCUAUAUGUAUCUGUUUCAUGGGAUUAACCAUGAAAUGUAUUGUACCCAUCUCGGGUUUCUUGUUUAGAUUCAGUAAUCAGAUUCAGUUUAAAGAUUCAUUGUCUCCAGAAAAUUUUAUUCAGUGAUCAACCGUUCUCCUCCAACUGAAAUUUCAUGUUUAUGUUUUUUAUUCUAGUCCUGUGUCCAUCUCCAGUUUACUCAAGAAACCAAGUAGGUGAUCAUGGAGGUUGACACAAGUACAUCCAAGUCAGCGUAAAGCUGAGAUGGGAAACCAAAUCGAGCAACUUCAGAAGCGUAAUGCACUAUCCAAGGUAGACCACGAUAGCAGGUAGUCUUGUCAUCUUGCAUCUUUCUUUUUCGAGGAAUUUUGCAUCUUCAUAUAUCUCAUGCAUUGCUUAUAGCUGUGGUACAGAACAUGUAACAGAAGACUAUUCUUUUUCUUAUUGCAUCUGUAACCUCUGUUUAUUAUACUGUAGAGAAGAGAACCACAUAAUCUUGAUACUAAUAGUUUCAUUUCCAUGAUGGUACAAAUAAACUGUCUGUAGUUUUCAGAUAUCUUGUCGAUGCUAGCCAGGAAGAGCACCAAAGGAAUGAGCCUAUGGUAUACACCGGAAGCAAGCCACCAAGGGCCUCUUGAGAAGAGGUAGCUUCAGCACUGUACCACAAGAUUACAGAGACCAACCCAGCUGGAGGAUCGAUGUCUCAGUUCUACCUAUGUAGAAUAUAAAAGCAAUGGUACCAUUGUAAACUUGUAGUCUCGCCUACCAUCAUGUAUCUUAAGGAUGUAGCACUAACGCUGAAACCAUGUAUAACUAUAUCCAUAAAUAUCUAUGUUUUCAUGCAAAACGAAAACAUGUUCAAUAACCUGCAUACAAGUUUAAGCCAAAUACAGCACAUGAAUGUACCAGCGAGUCACGAAUAUAAAAACUGUAUCUAGAAACAACUAUUGCCCAACUAUUAUCUUACUCACUACAAAGACUAGUAGAGUGCCCGUGCGUUGUCACGGGCUCUUGAAAUAGUUUGCAAAAGUUACAUAUUAAAUUUCAAAUGGACAAACAAUAUAACACAAACACAAUUAUUGAAUAAUUGAAGUCCAUUUUUGCAAUGUAAAUUGACAAAAAUAAAAGAUUAACGACAUGUCCAUAUAACAAACUGAGUGAUGGGCGAGGGCAGCGG
rnacentral:lncRNA from 1 species